rnacentral:lncRNA from 1 species
UUCCAGAACCGCCAAUGUGUCCCAGAACGUGGACGUGUGGAGCCACGCGAUCCACGGCCACGCCAUUCCGGGUUGAGAAGCUGACAUUCUAGAACGUUACUGCAGACAAGCUUUUCACAAAUGAAACACUGCUGCUGGAGCUAAGGCCUCACCUCCCCGGCACCCGCAGGCCCUGAAGCUGCCCUGGGCCUGGAAAGAGGCCUGGGCUCAGGCCCGCAAACAGGGCUAAACGUGGCCUUGCGCGUUCCCGACCCGACUCGGGCAUCCUCUUGUCUGGACCGCCCCGCCCCACACCUGAGAACUCGCCACUCGGGUCGCCCGGAGAGUGUGACACGGCACCCAUCCCGGCCCCCUGCCUGCCGCCUCCGAGGCCCUGCUGCGCCCGCUCGCUGGGCUCGCGCCCUGCCUUCGCCCCCAGCCGCACCCCGCUGGCUGUCACCCUGUCAGCAGAGCCUGAAUCUCCCGCUGAUGUCCCGCUGGGAAUGCGGUCGCCUUUCCCUGCUUGGCCUUCCGCGCUUCCGGCCCUGCCUCUGGCGUCGCAGGUGUGCGGGACAGCGGCGAGGUGCGCGGAGCGCGCAGGGGCGCCCACGUGCCGCCCGGUCCACUACCCAACUCGGAGCUGGCAAACGGGUACCAACCGCGGCCCUCCAGGAGCCCAGGACUCGGGACCUCGCCUGUUGACACAGACUCCCUUCUCCCCGACCCCCCCACCGGCUUGAGAGCUAGGAGUCCUACCUGCCACCUGCCGGGCCGCGGCCUGCGCUCCGCCGCUCCCAAGGAGGACGCGCAGCGGCCUGGAGUUGCGGGGGUCGGGGCGCACCUCUCCCCGCCGCCGCUUCGCCCGGACGCGCGGAAAAGCAAAGCUGGAACGCCACGCCACCACCGAAAGCCGCGGCCUCUCCGGGCCGUAAGGAGACCCGGUCUUCGCGCACGCCCCAGUGAGCCGAAGGGCGGGCCACGCGCGUGGGCUUCCACGGGCAGCCGCUCCCGCCGCGGGUGUCCUCUCACGGCGAUGCCGUACGGCCUGGCGCGGCGGGAGGGAACCGCAGCCGGGGUCCAGGGUCUGGCGUGCGGGACGGGUCGGGGGCGGCGGGAGCAAGGUUGGGGUUAGCGCGAGCGCAGCGGAGGCCGGGGUCUGCGGGCCGCGGAGCCACCGGCAAAUGGGGCUUUCCCGGUCCCGCGCCA